AACGAACGCUGGCGGCAUGCCUAACACAUGCGAGUCGAACGAGACCUUCGGGUCUAGUGGCGCACGGGUGCGUAACGCGUGGGAACCUGCCCUUAGGUUCGGAAUAACUCCCCGAAAGGGGUGCUAAUACCGGAUAAUGUCUUCGGACCAAAGAUUUAUCGCCUUUGGAUGGGCCCGCGUUGGAUUAGCUAGUUGGUAGGGUAAAAGCCUACCACGGCGACGAUCCAUAGCUGGUCUGAGAGGAUGAUCAGCCACACUGGGACUGAGACACGGCCCAGACUCCUACGGGAGGCAGCAGUGGGGAAUAUUGGACAAUGGGCGAAAGCCUGAUCCAGCAAUGCCGCGUGAGUGAUGAAGGCCUUAGGGUUGUAAAGCUCUUUUACCCGGGAUGAUAAUGACAGUACCGGGAGAAUAAGCUCCGGCUAACUCCGUG
rnacentral:rRNA from 1 species